rnacentral:rRNA from 1 species
ACGCUCGACACCUACUGGAGGCAGCAGUAGGGAAUAUUGGGCAAUGGGGGAAACCCUGACCCAGCAACGCCGCGUGAGGGAAGAAGGUUUUCGGAUUGUAAACCUCUGUCCUAUGGGACGAAGGAAGUGACGGUACCAUAGGAGGAAGCUCCGGCUAACUACGUGCAGCAGCCGCGGUAAUCUGAGCGGGCUGGCAAGGC